UCGAGAAUAAUUCACAAUGGGGGCAACCCUGAUGGUGCAACGCCGCGUGGAGGAUGACGGUCUUCGGAUUGUAAACUCCUGUCAUCCGGGAGCAAGACCUGACGAUUAAUAGUCGGCAGGGUUGAUAGUACCGGAAGAGGAAGGGACGGCUAACUUCGUGCCAGCAGCCGCGGUAAUACGAAGGUCCCGAGCGUUGUUCGGAAUCACUGGGCGUAAAGGGAGCGUAGGCGGCGUGGUAAGUCAGAUGUGAAAUCCCGGGGCUCAACCCCGGAACUGCAUCCGAUACUGCCGUGCUAGAGGAUUGGAGAGGUAGCUGGAAUUCUUGGUGUAGCAGUGAAAUGCGUGGAUAUCAAGAGGAACACUCGUGGCGAAAGCGAGCUACUGGACAAUUUCUGACGCUGAGGCUCGAAGGCUAGGGUAGCGAAAG
rnacentral:rRNA from 1 species